AUGUUUAAAGGGCAAAACUAGGGAAACCUAGUGACGCAAAGCUAUAGGGCCCGUAACGGGUAGCCAGUUGUCAUA
rnacentral:ncRNA from 1 species